AAUAAACCCUUUCCUCCCCAACUUGCUUCUUGGUCAUGUUGUUUGUUCAGGAAUAGAAACCCUAACUAAGACACAUCCCUAAGCAGAAACUACUGCGGUAAGUAGUUCAACUCUGCCUGUCCUUGAACUUCAGUGAGAUCCACUCACACAGUGUGUUCUCUGUGCUGGUGGCACUGUAGUUCCUUUCCUCUUACUUCACUGACACUUACUCUGUGUGGCUGAGUUAGCACUUCACUUCUUUUUUCUCCACCAAAAUUGUUGAGUUAUAAGGUAGAUAUACAUUUAAUUGGAUAUUAGCAAUCAAGUUCUUCUUUCAAAUUAGCCGGAACAAAUUGUGUUCCUACCAGCACAUUGCAAAAGCUCCCAUCUUUGCAUACACCAAUGUUUGGGUUCUGGGGUUUUAACAUCAGCUACGCUGGUUGGCAUGUGCUAUUAUUAAUCCAUGCAGUUUAAUUUUGAAUGUGUGUAACUGGUUAAGGUUUUGGAACUGCUGCAGAUUCUGAUCUACUGCAUCCACCCAUGUGACUUUCAAAAGCCUCACGGGGUUACCAUCCUCCAAUUAGUCCUAUCUUUUACUCAUCUCCAACCCAGAACCAGCAAAUUGUCACCUAAACAAAGAACAAGCUAUAUGCGCAUGUACUAAAAGCAAAAACCCGCCAAAAGUCACCAGCCCAUUUCUGGGGCACUGGUCCAUCCCCCAGGGCACUAGCCCAACCCCUGGGGCGUUUAGCCUAUCCCUAGGGUGCAUGAGAUUCGUGGGUGUAGCUACCAGUCCUAGUUUAGACAUGUCACCAAAAAGUAUUUAAGCCACACACUUUCUGAGCCUUCUUUGUCUACCUCAAUAUGUUAUGAAGUAAAGUUAACCACGAAAGAAUCUGGCGUGUCCUGUGUCUGUUUCUGCUGGCGGGAACAGGCUCAGGAUACUUGGUGCUCGAAACCCGGGGAAAAAACGCCUUAACAACGUGCAGCACCAGGGAGGAGACCCUCAGACCAACCGGAGCAGGUUCAGAACCAUGGUGGAUUCAGCUCCGAGAGAAUACUGAUACUGGUGAAGAAAAUCUACUUUGGGUCCCAAUGCGACUGAAAAGGACUGUGAAAGAACAAUAUGAACCCCAAGAUGAUUCUCUUACUCCUGAUGAUUGAGACCGGGAUAAGUAUACCCUUGUAGGCCAAAGUAAGAUCAUGGCCAGUACCUUUACCGGUACAGUCCAAUUUGUCUACCUAGCCUUUAUUUUUUGCAAAGGAAUGUUUUUUAGAUGUGCCUUAUACACAACAAACUCCUCAAGAGCCAUAGAUGUAUAAGAGUACUAGUUUUCAUUUAAAUUAUACAUUAUGCUUUGUGCAUAAUGUGGAUAAACUUUUUAUACCCUAUAUAUUUUUAAAGAAAAAGAUUAUCGCUAAUUGGGCAGAUCCCAUUAUCCAAAAUAAAGUGAGCUCUAGAGUGUUAUUUAAUGCUUUAAUACAAAUUGCUCAAGGGCCACAACCAAGAUCAGUGAUGUUGAAAAUAAUGUAACUUCAUAUAUAAACAUCACCACUAUCAGGAUAAAGAGAAAUGUGACUAUUCCCAAAAGAUCACGAUAGCCUGUUGGCAAUGCUACUGCUAUAUGCAGCAUGUCUUGGUCAUUCAGACCUCGAAUUUCCUAUAGUUUUUUCACCUUGUCAAUCAAAUGUUUUUCCUCGAAAAGAAUUAGGAAAGGGUUUCGUUUUGUCAUCACCAUUAGAUUAUGCUGUUAUGUAUGGUAAAGGAGAUGCUACAGAGAAAGAAAAUAUUUGGCCAUAUUACCGAUAGAUUUUAAGUAAUGAGGCAGAUGCUAGUACCAGUUUGUCAACCUUUGCACUGUUGACUAGAACCUUUGAUGAGAUAUUUAAUGUUUCUGCCACACUUUCCAAUAUCUCUACUCAUUUGAAUAAUGUGACAUCUAAUAGAGUUAUCGAAAAUAUGACUACUCCUCCAAUAGAAGUUUGUUUCAAUUUUCCACGUUUCUUUAUAUUGGCUGAAUUUCAAUAUAAUACAGAAUGGUUAGAUUCUACAAAUGUCACUUGUUUUUUGAUACAAUGCUGAAAUGAAAUUAAUUUCUUAGCCUUAGUGGUACAUUUACCAACCUUUGUCCCUGUGCCUGUUGAGGCAGAUCCAAAGAAGUUCCCAAUCAUGAGUCUUGUCCGGCAGAAGAGAGAUUUUGGAAUCACAGCCGCCACUGUUACUGCCAUUGCAGUGUCCGCAGCAUCCGCGGUUACUACAGAAAUUGCUAUGGCCUAUCAAGUCAAUAUUGCUGAUACUAUAAGUCAGAUAACAGAAAAAAACGUCUGAGGCAUUGCUUACCCUGCAAAGGGUGGAUUCUCAUAUUGCCUCAGGAUCAUACAAAUGAGUUGUGUGGCAUCAACUUUACAGAUGUGCAUUACUCCUGUUGUGUAUACUAAUUAUUCUUUUAUUAAAAGUACAGGUCUAUCGAAUUAUCUGAAAGGGGAACUGGUCGCAGAAGCUGGAAAGGUUGCAGACGAAGCUACAGAUACAGAUCCUGAACCUUAUUGGAACCAGAGUGGAACCAGUGACCCUUGGAGACUUCACCUCUUGACUUACCUCUGCAUUUUUCUCACUUCAAAGAAUGGGUGGGGGUGGCUCUGUUUAGCGCAGCCCUGUGUUGUGGAUUAGUGCUUAUACUAUGACUGGUUUGCAAACUCAGAUCUCAGCAGAAACGUGACAAGGUGGUAAUUGCUCAAGCACUUGCUGCCAUAGAGCAAGGCACCUCCCCUGAAAUUUGGCUAUCUAUUCUCAAGAAUUAGUUGGCAUUUGAGUUCUCUGCCUUUGCAUUCCACGAAUUUGUGGAUACAUUGCAUUGAGAUGAGAGAAACUCAACGAUCAUUGAUCAACCCGUGUGCAUUGCUGAGGUUUCCUCAUUGCAUGUGAUAGAAUGACCAUGAUUUCCCCACUAAUUUAUUUUUGGCUGGCCUCUUCUGUAGAGUUCACCCUAGGCCAUUUAGCAGUUGUAGUCACACAGCACUGUGGUAUCCAGAGACGGGCAACUUUCCUCGUGCACAGACCAACCUAAGACAAUGGGGCCCGGUGGUGAUAGGGUUACCCGAUAACGGGUAAGGCUGUGACAUUGGAGGAACGACCUAAAACAGGGGCCACAGCAGAUGGACGUAACUACAGAGGCCUAGACCAGCCUCAUUUUUAUUAAAACAUAAAGGGGGAGAUGUGGAGAGCCGCAAUAACAUUUACCAUCUUAAGAUGGCGCUGGCUCCGCAGUGCCUUAUGCCACCUAAACAAAGAACAAGCUAUAUGUGCAUCUGCUAAAAGCAAAAACCCACCAAAAGUCACCAGCCCAUUUCCAGGGCACCGGUCCAUCCCCCAGGGCACUAGCCCAACCCCUGGGGCGUUUAGCCUAUCCCUAGGGUGCAUGAGAUUUGUGGGUGUAGCUACCAGUCCUAGUUUAGACACGUCACCAAAAAGUAUUUAAGCCACACACUUUCUGAGCCUUCUUUGUCUACCUCAAUAUGUUAUGAAGUAAAGUUAACCAUGAAAGAAUCUGGCGUGUCCUGUGUCUGUUUCUGCUGGCGGGAACAGGCUCAGGAUACAGUUCCACCUACUUUUUGUAAGUGACAUCAUUUUUGUUCAUGGCUGAAUAUUCUACUAUCAUAAAUAUGUGUAUUACAUAUUCUUCAUUUAUUAAUAAGAGAAAAGGUAUCUUAGUAAUUUUCUAACUUGUCUAUUAUAACUGCCAUAUUAAAUAUGAAUAUAUUGAAAUCUUUAUUUUCUAAUAAGUUUUAUUUUUUCAUUAUGUGACAGAGGAGGUAUAUCUAGAUGAGAUGUUGGGACUAUUUCACAUUUUUCUUAUAAACUUCAUACUGAUUUACAUAGUCACUAAAAUAAUUGAUAUUACCCCCAAUAUUAUUUAAGGGUUCCUCCUCAUCGCUGCUACAUCUUGGCUUCUUCAGUGCCUAGAGUUGAAUUCUAGAGACCUUAUACCUUCCUGGUUGGAUCUGUUCAUAGGCAUUGUUUAAAGUUAUUAUGAAGAGUUUUUUUUUUUUUUUUUUCUGAUUUCUUUCCUAGCAUGUUCAUUAUUGGUGAAAGCUACUAAAUUAUAUAUGUUGAAUUUUUAUUUGCCUACUUAGUGAAUAAUAUUUUUUACAUCUAAGAGUUUUCUGGAGCAGUUCCAAUAUCUUUCAGAACAAUGUCACCUAGAAAUAAUUUACUUUUUCUUUCCUAUUUGUAUCACUUCAAUUCCUUUUGUCUUGUUGCUCUAGUUAAGACAUUCAACAGUAUAUUGAAAGCAGUGUUCUUCCAUGGCCUCUGUAUCAGUUCCUAACUCCAGGUUUCUGCUUAAGUUCCUGACUGAGUACCUUCAAGUAGGGCAAACACUAGUCUAUAGAGGUGAAGGUUGUAGGUAGUUUAACUCUAUAUGUUCAAUAAAUUAUGUAGGUGAUUUCUUCAACAAUAGAGCUUAUUGUCAGUAUGUGAAGAACAAGCAAUAGCCUUGACAAUAGUCUGGGUUGUUUGGGACUUCUCUUGAGGCCCCUUUGACCAACAACUUGAUUAGAUGCAAUCCAUUUCCAGCACUAGAAGCUUCAUUUAGUGAUGAAAGAUGUCCAACUCCAGCCCUGAGUCUGAUUAUUUUUUGUCAUCUUCUCCUUUUGGGUAUGAUUGUUGUUUGUUCUAAAGCUUUUAUGUAUGCUACUAAGCUACUUCAUGAUAUCUCUCCAAUGUAGACAUUUAGUGUUAUGAAUUUGCCUCUUGAAACUAAUUUCAUGGUGUCUCAUAACUUUUGAUAUAUUCUGCUCUCAUUUUCAUUCAAUUCUAAAAAGUCUAAUUUUUUUCUUAAUUCUGUAUUGACUCAUUCUUUAUUCAGUAGUGAGUUGUUGAGUUUCUAUGAGUUUGCAGACUUUCUGUUGGUUAUAUUGUUGUUGGAAUCCAGCUUUAAUCUGGGGUGAUCAGAUAGGAUGCAGGGAGUUAUUGCAACUUUCUUGUAUCUGUUGAGACUUGUUUUGUCUAACUAUGUGGUCAGUUUAGGAGAAAGUUCCAUGAGAUGUUACAAAGAAGGUAUUUGGUAAAAUAUUUGGGUGAACUAUUUGGUGAAGAAGAUUUGAGUGAGAUGUUUUGUAAAUAUCUGUUGGGUCCAUUGGGUUUAUAAUGUCAGUUACCUUCAAUAUAUUUCUUUUCACUGAAUGACUGGUCUAUUGUGGGAGUAGGGUAAUGAAGUUACCCAUUAUCAAUGUGUGAGAGUCAAUAUGUGAUUUUAGCUAUGUGUGUUUCUUUUAUGAACUUGAGUGCCUUUGUAUUUGAUAUAUAGAUGUUCAAUGUCUUGGUGGUGGAUCUGUCCUUUGAUGAGUAUGUGGUGUCCUUCCCUAUCUCUUCUGGAUAGUUUUGGUUUAAAGUCUAUCUUGUUUUUCAAAUAUUAAAAGAGCUACUCCAGCUUAAGGCUUAGGUACAUUUGCUUGGAAUAUCGGUUUGUGUUCUUUAUCUUAAAGUGAUGUACAUCCUUGAUGUUAAGCUAUGUUUCUUGGAUAUAGCAGAAGGAUGAAUCCUGUUUUUUGCAUGCAUUAUAAUUACUUUGUGUCUUUUUAUUGUAGAAUUGAAAUCAUUGAUAUUGUGAAUUAUAUAUGAACAGUGAUUGUUGAUUUCCAUUUUUGCUGGCUAGUUUUAUGUCAAUUUGACAAAAGCUAUAGUCUUUAGAAAGGAGGGAGGCUUAAUUGAAAAAAAAAAGCCUCUAUAAAAUCAGGCUUUAGGCAAACCUGUAGGGCAUCUUCUUAAUUAGUGGAUGGUGGAGGGUCCAGUGCAUUAUAGGUAGUGUCACCUCUAGGCCAGUGAUCCUGUGUACUAUAAGAAAGCAGGCUGAGCAGGCUGGAAAAAACAAGUCCAGUAAACAAUACUCUUUUUUAAAAGACUUUAUAAUUUUAUUUUAUUUUUAUUAGAUAUUUUCUUUAUUAAUUUAUUUUUUUAUUUCAAAUGUUAUCCUGUAGCCUCCCAUAAGCCUGAAGCAGGCUGAGUCAGGCUUGACUUUGUUGCCACUAAGGAGAUCACCUGGGGUGGAGCCUGCCUCCCUGGAUCCCUCUAUUGUUCUGCUACUGGGCUGCUGCUAACUGCUGCCUAGCUGUUCCGGAGCUGGUCUCCUGGAGCUGGGCUCCAAAGAUGGUUUGGUGGGAAUGGGCUUUCCCCUCUCCUUUAUAAAGCGUGUCCACCAUUAAAAAUUUGAACCUUGA